CUAGCAUAUCAAUAAGCGGAGGAAAAGAAACUAACAAGGAUUCCCCUAGUAACUGCGAGUGAAGCGGGAAGAGCUCAAAUUUAAAAUCUGGCGGCCUUGCCGUCCGAGUUGUAAUUUAGAGAAGCGUUUUCCGCGUCGGACCGUGUACAAGUCUCCUGGAACGGAGCGUCAUAGAGGGUGAGAAUCCCGUCUUUGACACGGACCCCCGGUGCUCUGUGAUACGCUCUCGAAGAGUCGAGUUGUUUGGGAAUGCAGCUCAAAAUGGGUGGUGAACUCCAUCUAAAGCUAAAUAUUGGCGAGAGACCGAUAGCGAACAAGUACCGUGAGGGAAAGAUGAAAAGCACUUUGGAAAGAGAGUGAAACAGUACGUGAAAUUGCUGAAAGGGAAACGCUUGAAGUCAGUCGCGUCCGCCGGAAUUCAGCCUUCAUGGUGUACUUUCUGACGGACGGGCCAGCAUCACUUUUGAUCGCCGGAAAAGGGCAGAGGGAAUGUGGCACCUCCGGGUGUGUUAUAGCCCUCUGUCGUAUACGGUGGUUGGGAGUGAGGACCGCCUAUCUUUGUAGGAUGCUGGCGUAAUGGCUUUAAACGACCCGUCUUGAAACACGGACCAAGGAGUCUAACAUGCCCGCGAGUGUUCGGGUGGAAAACCCGUGCGCGUAAUGAAAGUGAAAGUUGGGAAGGCUGUCAUGGCCUGCACCGACGCCCGGACCUGAGAUUUAUCAAAGGUUCUGCGGUAGAGCGUGUAUGUUGGGACCCGAAAGAUGGUGAACUAUGCCUGAAUAGGGUGAAGCCAGAGGAAACUCUGGUGGAGGCUCGUAGCGAUUCUGACGUGCAAAUCGAUCGUCAAAUUUGGGUAUAGGGGCGAAAGACUAAUCGAACCAUCUAGUAGCUGG
rnacentral:rRNA from 1 species